rnacentral:rRNA from 1 species
GACGAACCGAGCGAACGUUGUUCGGAAUCACUGGGCUUAAAGGGCGCGUAGGCGGGCCGCCAAGUUCGAGGUGAAAUCCUCCGGCUCAACCGGAGAACUGCCUCGAAUACUGGAGGCCUCGAGGCGGGUAGGGGCAUGCGGAACUGUGGGUGGAGCGGUGAAAUGCGUUGAUAUCCACAGGAACUCCGGUGGCGAAGGCGGCAUGCUGGACCCGAUCUGACGCUGAGGCGCGAAAGCCAGGGGAGCAAACGGG